rnacentral:rRNA from 1 species
UCAGGAUGAACGCUAGCGGCAGGCCUAAUACAUGCAAGUCGAACGGUCCGCAAGGACAGUGGCAAACGGGUGCGUAACGCGUAAGCAACCUGCCCCAUACCGGGGGAUAGCCUGGCGAAAGCCGGGGUAAACCCGCAUAGUCCCUUUGCGCUUCAUGGCGCGUCGGGUAAACAUUUAUGGGUAUGGGAGGGGCUUGCGUCUGAUUAGUUAGUUGGCGGGGUAACGGCCCACCAAGACGGUGAUCAGUAGGGGUUCUGAGAGGAUUGGCCCCCACAUGGGUACUGAGAUACGGACCCAACUCCUACGGGAGGCAGCAGUAGGGAAUAUUGGGCAAUGGAGGCAACUCUGACCCAGCCAUGCCGCGUGCAGGAUGAAGGCGCUCAGCGUCGUAAACUGCUUUUAUCUGGGAAGAACUAUGAGGAUGCGUCCUUAUUGACGGUACCA